rnacentral:lncRNA from 1 species
GAAGAGGUAAGGAUACCUUGAUUUCAUUUCAGAUUCUAACUCCCAGGUCAUUUCCUCAACAUCGUGGUUCCUCCAUAAAACUUUGACUUGAGGUAUAACCUUGGAGCGUAAAAUAUGUUCCUUCUUAUCCAAGAUUUGAACAGGAACCUCUUCAUACGUUAAAUCUUCCGCUAUUUCGUCCGGUUCUAACUCAAUAAUGUGGUUCGGGUCUUUCACAUAUUUACGUAACAUGGAUAUAUGAAAAACGUUAUGAACAAGAGACAUACUUGGCGGUAAGGCGAG